UACGAGAGACCCGAACGUUAUUCGGAAUUACUGGGCUUACAGAGUUCGUAGGCGGCUCAGAAAGUUGGGUGUGAAAUCCCUCGGCUCAGCCGAGGAAUUGCGCUCAAAACUACUGAGCUUGAGGGGUAUAGAGGUAAGCGGAACUGAUGGUGGAGCGGUGAAAUGCGUUGAUAUCAUCAGGAACACCGGUGGCGAAGGCGGCUUACUGGGUACCUCCUGACGCUGAGGAACGAAAGCGUGGGGAGCGAACAGG
rnacentral:rRNA from 1 species